UACGUAGGGGGCUAGCGUUGUCCGGAAUCAUUGGGCGUAAAGCGCGUGUAGGCGGUCCGGUAAGUCCGCUGUGAAAGUCCAGGGCUCAACCCUGGGAUGGCGGUGGAUACUGUCGGGCUCGAGUCCGGAAGAGGCGAGUGGAAUUCCUGGUGUAGCGGUGAAAUGCGCAGAUAUCAGGAGGAACACCAAUGGCGAAGGCAGCUCGCUGGGACGUGACUGACGCUGAGACGCGAAAGCGUGGGGAGCAAACAGG
rnacentral:rRNA from 1 species